UGUAUAAAGGAUCUGUAAAAUGUGUGUAAGACAGAGUUUUUGUACCAAGGUGCAAAGCUCUCCUUUCUUCUGCAGAAUAAAGCAACUCUUCCUUAUCCUGUCUGGCUGUUAUUGGCUCUCAGCUAGGUGGACCCGAUAUUUCUGUAACAGUUACUGGCGACUCCGCCGGGACUCUCCUAGCUCGGACAUUGGACUCCGGAUGGCUGCGGCGAACUGGCAACGGCACCAAUGGGGUGUUUUGCCCCUUUUCUCUCCUUCACCGCAGCCCCUGGGGUUCGUGCUCCAAUAAGGUUAAAAGAAGCCAAGAAGGGAAGAAGGAAAAAGAACAGAACCAGUUAACUGGAAAAAAAAUAGCUAGCAAGCUCAGUCCAAAAAUAAGAUGCUGGCCCCAUCCAAGGACACUGCCCACAGCUAAGACUUGGCUGACAGCCAAGAAAAGGGGGGCCUGAAUGUGCCCAAGCAACUAUGAGAUCUGCAAAACACUGCCAGACAUUAAUGAAAUGUGUUAGGUUUCGUUUCUCACAGAUAAAAGAAGUGCUACCCAAAGACCCUAGCAGCCCUGCCAUUCAUUGAAACAAGGAGACUGAGUCUAUGUAAAGUCCAUCAACGAAAGACUGCUUUGGCUCCACACUGGAAAGGCCCUUUCCAAGUCCUGUUAACCACCAACACCGCUGUGAAGUGCCAAGGACUACCUGCGUGGACCCAUGCUUCUCACUGUAAAAAGACCCCUUCACCUCGGGAGGACUCUCCAACUGAUAAGCCUAUUUCUCCUUCUAGCUCUGCUGUGCCUUCUGGACAGCAGGAAAAAGAAAAAAAAGACAAGGUGAAGUGCUAGUAACCUCUCCCUUGUCCACUGACAGACCUACUGUGCCUUUGGAUUUUUCUAGAAGAAGCAAAACCAUUACAGGGUGAUGUGCUAGUAACCUCUCCCCUGUAUGAUGCUAAACCACACUGUUUCAGGAAAAGAGAAGAAGGAACACUUGCUUCAUUGAAACCUCAAAGUCCAGGGAUUCCUGACUAUAAGAGACAUUAAGAACUGACCCUGGUGAAGAAACAAAGAAUUAUACACUGGCAGGAAGAAACUUGUGGGACCCAUGCUUGGGAAUGUGGUAUAGUACUACACCAAAAAGAAAUGUAUUAGGAUAUCAAUGAACUGUGAUUAACACUACACUGGGGACUGUUAAAUUUUCAUUACCCUUAUCCAGUUUCCAGAUCACCUCUACAUACCCAAAUUGCUCAUAGGGGGCUGCCAUUAGAUUAGCACAACAGAGGGGUUAUUUCCUCUAGAAAGAAAAGUGACUUGACCAGAUCCCUAUGGGAUGGGGCCAAUAGUGCAGCAGCAGUUUGGAAUAUUUUUAAGAACCAAAACAUGAUGAGAAAUUGGGGCACAGCUAACCCAGGUACAGGCUGGAAUUGGUGAGUUACAUGUUAUCUCCACCCUUAGUUCUAUGACCCAGAAGUUGCUGACAGAGAUGGUAUUGAAUAUCACUGAGGCUGGGAAGGCAUUGCAGUGGGAUCUAGCAUGUUCAGAAAUUCAGGAUUUCCUGAAUGACCAUCUAAUGGCCGUUCGGAAUGAUCUAGAGCAUCAGGCUUGGCCCACUGCCCUUACAGACACAUCAGGAGUACCAUCUGAUCUGUGGCCAUGGAGACAUACUUGGAAACUUUCUGGGUGGAAGUGCAAACAUUCUCAAUGCUCCUUCCAAGCAUAUGAACCAAUUAGGGGGGGGACUUGUGCUCGCAUCGGGGAAAAAUGUUGUUUCUAUGUUAAUCAUUCCGGCUUAAUUGAGCAGGAUUUACAAGCCAUUAAGAAUGCUGCUGUUGUUUUCCGUGCUGUAUCUCUUGAUCACACCUUUAGUUUUGAGGACCUCCUUCCAGACCUUGGGUCAUGGUUUAUGGGGCUCUUUCGAACAAUUGUUAAAUGGAUUCUUUUCUUUCUAUGCGUUAUCUGGAUAAUGAUACAAUGUGCCAAAUGCCUGUGUAAUGCUAUGAUCAAAAGCUCUGCUGUCCAUAAGAAAACCCAGUAUCUGUCCCUCCAGCUUGAUCGCAAAUUGCGUUGCGGGCCUGACAAUUUUUGAAUUUGUCAGGCCUGAAGUGGGGACUGUGAAAGUUAUUAGUGACCCCCCCUUAACAGAGCAGCCUUUAUGUCAACCAGCGGCCAUUAGGGGGAAGCAACACUUCAAGUACACAGUAGCCUGAACUUUUCAACUGUUUUCCCUUCAAGGCCUUAAGGUAGUUGGAGCUGGUCCCAAGCCAGUUUUCACUGACCAGAUAGCAAAAGCACGGGUCUGACUACCACCAAUCAAGUGUUAACACUGCAAGGACCUUUGUCUGAAUGUGUAUAAAGGAUCUGUAAAAUGUGUGUAAGACAGAGUUUUUGUACCAAGGUGCAAAGCUCUCCUUUCUUCUGCAGAAUAAAGCAACUCUUCCUUA